rnacentral:rRNA from 1 species
AUUGAACGCUGGCGGCAGGCCUAACACAUGCAAGUCGAGCGUGAAAGUCCUUCGGGAUGAGUAAAGCGGCGGACGGGUGAGUAAUACGCAGGAAUCUACCUGAUAGUGGGGGAUAACGUUUCGAAAGGAACGCUAAUACCGCAUACGUUCUGAGGAAGAAAGCAGGGGCUCGUAAGACCUUGCGCUACCAGAUGAGCCUGCGUCCGAUUAGCUAGUUGGUGGGGUAAAGGCCUACCAAGGCGACGAUCGGUAACUGGUCUGAGAGGAUGAUCAGUCACACUGGAACUGAGACACGGUCCAGACUCCUACGGGAGGCAGCAGUGGGGGAAUAUUGGACAAUGGGGGGCAACCCUGAUCCAGCCAUGCCGCGUGUGUGAAGAAGG